GCCCAAAAUCUAGCCCCCCCCCCCAAAUCAAAUACCACCCCACAUCAUAUCAAAUAAAAUUUUCUAUGA
rnacentral:rRNA from 1 species